rnacentral:rRNA from 1 species
ACGAACGCUGGCGGCAUGCUUAACACAUGCAAGUCGAACGAAAAGGGAGCUUGCUCUCUUUUAGUGGCAAACGGGUGAGUAAUGCGUAGGAAUUUGCCUUUUGGUGGGGGAUAACCAGAGGAAACUCUGGCUAAUACCGCAUGAGCUUAGUGAUAAGGAAAGAUUUAUCGCCAAAAGAUAAGCCUACGUCGGAUUAGGUAGUUGGUGGGGUAAUGGCCUACCAAGCCGACGAUCCGUAGCUGGUCUGAGAGGAUGAUCAGCCACACUGGGAUUGAGAUACGGCCCAGACUCCUACGGGAGGCAGCAGUGAGGAAUAUUGGACAAUGGGGGCAACCCUGAUCCAGCAAUGCCGCGUGAAUGAAGAAGGCCUUCGGGUUGUAAAGUUCUUUCAAUUGUGAAGAUGAUGACGGUAGCAAUAUAAGAAGCUCCGGCUAACUCUGU